rnacentral:rRNA from 1 species
AAUAGAUACCCUGGUAGUCCACGCCGUAAACGAUGAGUGCUAAGUGUUAGAGGGUUUCCGCCCUUUAGUGCUGCAGCUAACGCAUUAAGCACUCCGCCUGGGGAGUACGGCCGCAAGGCUGAAACUCAAAGGAAUUGACGGGGGCCCGCACAAGCGGUGGAGCAUGUGGUUUAAUUCGAAGCAACGCGAAGAACCUUACCAGGUCUUGACAUCCUCUGACCUCCCUGGAGACAGGGCCUUCCCCUUCGGGGGACAGAGUGACAGGUGGUGCAUGGUUGUCGUCAGCUCGUGUCGUGAGAUGUUGGGUUAAGUCCCGCAACGAGCGCAACCCUUGACCUUAGUUGCCAGCAUUCAGUUGGGCACUCUAAGGUGACUGCCGGUGACAAACCGGAGGAAGGUGGGGAUGACGUCAAAUCAUCAUGCCCCUUAUGACCUGGGCUACACACGUGCUACAAUGGAUGGUACAAAGGGCUGCAAGACCGCGAGGUUAAGCCAAUCCCAAAAAACCAUUCCCAGUUCGGAUUGCAGGCUGCAACCCG